rnacentral:rRNA from 1 species
ACGAACGCUGGCGGCGUGCCUAAUACAUGCAAGUAGAACGCUGAAGAGAGGAGCUUGCUCUUCUUGGAUGAGUUGCGAACGGGUGAGUAACGCGUAGGUAACCUGCCUUGUAGCGGGGGAUAACUAUUGGAAACGAUAGCUAAUACCGCAUAACAAUGGAUGACACAUGUCAUUUAUUUGAAAGAGGCAAUUGCUCCACUACAAGAUGGACCUGCGUUGUAUUAGCUAGUAGGUGAGGUAACGGCUCACCUAGGCGACGAUACAUAGCCGACCUGAGAGGGUGAUCGGCCACACUGGGACUGAGACACGGCCCAGACUCCUACGGGAGGCAGCAGUAGGGAAUCUUCGGCAAUGGGGGCAACCCUGACCGAGCAACGCCGCGUGAGUGAAGAAGGUUUUCGGAUCGUAAAGCUCUGUUGUAAGUCAAGAACGAGUGUGAGAGUGGAAAGUUCACACUGUGACGGUAGCUUACCAGAAAGGGACGGCUAACUACGUGCCAGCAGCCGCGGUAAUACGUAGGUCCCGAGCGUUGUCCGGAUUUAUUGGGCGUAAAGCGAGCGCAGGCGGUUUGAUAAGUCUGAAGUUAAAGGCUGUGGCUCAACCAUAGUUCGCUUUGGAAACUGUCAAACUUGAGUGCAGAAGGGGAGAGUGGAAUUCCAUGUGUAGCGGUGAAAUGCGUAGAUAUAUGGAGGAACACCGGUGGCGAAAGCGGCUCUCUGGUCUGUAACUGACGCUGAGGCUCGAAAGCGUGGGGAGCGAACAGGAUUAGAUACCCUGGUAGUCCACGCCGUAAACGAUGAGUGCUAGGUGUUGGAUCCUUUCCGGGAUUCAGUGCCGCAGCUAACGCAUUAAGCACUCCGCCUGGGGAGUACGACCGCAAGGUUGAAACUCAAAGGAAUUGACGGGGGCCCGCACAAGCGGUGGAGCAUGUGGUUUAAUUCGAAGCAACGCGAAGAACCUUACCAGGUCUUGACAUCCCGAUGCUAUUUCUAGAGAUAGAAAGUUACUUCGGUACAUCGGUGACAGGUGGUGCAUGGUUGUCGUCAGCUCGUGUCGUGAGAUGUUGGGUUAAGUCCCGCAACGAGCGCAACCCCUAUUGUUAGUUGCCAUCAUUCAGUUGGGCACUCUAGCGAGACUGCCGGUAAUAAACCGGAGGAAGGUGGGGAUGACGUCAAAUCAUCAUGCCCCUUAUGACCUGGGCUACACACGUGCUACAAUGGUUGGUACAACGAGUUGCGAGUCGGUGACGGCAAGCUAAUCUCUUAAAGCCAAUCUCAGUUCGGAUUGUAGGCUGCAACUCGCCUACAUGAAGUCGGAAUCGCUAGUAAUCGCGGAUCAGCACGCCGCGGUGAAUACGUUCCCGGGCCUUGUACACACCGCCCGUCACACCACGAGAGUUUGUAACACCCGAAGUCGGUGAGGUAACCUUUUGGAGCCAGCCGCCUAAGGUGGGAUAGAUGAUUGGGGUG